GUCCUUAUGACAGGUAUACCAGUCCAUCAUUGGUCAUUAUAACAGGUAUGCCAGUCCAUCAUUGGUCCUUAUGACAGGUAUGCCAGUCCAUCAUUGGUCGUUAUGACAGGUAUGCCAGUCCAUCAUUGGUCGUUAUGACAGGUAUGCCAGUCCAUCAUUGGUCGUUAUAACAGGUAUGCCAGUCCAUCAUUGGUCGUUAUGACAGGUAUGCCAGUCCAUCAUUGGUCGUUAUAACAGGUAUGCCAGUCCAUCAUUGGUCGUUAUAACAGGUAUGCCAGUCCAUCAUUGGUCGCUAUAACAGGUAUGCCAGUCCAUCAUUGGUCGUUAUAACAG
ensembl:lncRNA